rnacentral:rRNA from 1 species
ACGGGAGGCAGCAGUGGGGAAUAUUGCACAAUGGGGGAAACCCUGAUGCAGCGACGCCGCGUGAGUGAAGAAGUAUUUCGGUAUGUAAAGCUCUAUCAGCAAGGAAGAAAAUGACGGUACUUGACUAAGAAGCCCCGGCUAACUACGUGCCAGCAGCCGCGGUAAUACGUAGGGGGCAAGCGUUAUCCGGAUUUACUGGGUGUAAAGGGAGCGUAGACGGCAUAGCAAGUCUGAAGUGAAAUGCAUGGGCUCAACCCAUGAACUGCUUUGGAAACUGUUAAGCUAGAGUGCGGGAGAGGUAAGUGGAAUUCCUAGUGUAGCGGUGAAAUGCGUAGAUAUUAGGAGGAACACCAGAGGCGAAGGCGGCUUACUGGACUGUAACUGACGUUGAGGCUCGAAAGCGUGGGGAGCAAACAGGAUUAGAUACCCUGGUA